GGGAAGGUGGCUCAGCGGUAGAGCGCUUGCCUUGCAUGCAUGAGGCCCUGGGUUCGAUUCCUCAGUACCCA
rnacentral:tRNA from 1 species